GACGAACGCUGGCGGCGUGCUUAACACAUGCAAGUCGAACGGGUCUGCCCUGUUUUUUGCGGGGUGGGUCAGUGGCGAACGGGUGAGUAACACGUGAGUAACCUGCCCCUCACUUCUGGAUAACCGCUUGAAAGGGUGGCUAAUACGGGGUGUUCUGGCUGUGCCGCAUGGUGUGGCUGGGAAAGAUUCACGUUUGUGGUGUUUUGGUGGGGGAUGGGCUCGCGGCCUAUCAGCUUGUUGGUGGGGUGAUGGCCUGCCAAGGCUUUGACGGGUAGCCGGCCUGGGAGGGUGGGCGGUCACACUGGGACUGCGAUACGGCCGAGACUCCUGCGGGACGCAGCAGUGGGGGGUAUUGCACAGUGGGCGGAAGCCUGAUGCAGCGACGUCGCGUGAGGGAUGGCGGCCUUCGGGUUGUGAACCUCUUUCGCCGGUGAAGAAGGUCCUGCUCUUUGUGGUGGGGUUGACGGUAGCCGGGUUAUGAAGCGCCGGCUAACUACGUG
rnacentral:rRNA from 1 species